rnacentral:rRNA from 1 species
GAUCAUGCCUCAGGAUGAACGCUAGCUACAGGCUUAACACAUGCAAGUCGAGGGGCAGCGGGAUUGAAGCUUGCUUCAAUUGCCGGCGACCGGCGCACGGGUGAGUAACGCGUAUCCAACCUUCCGUACACCCAGGGAUAGCCUUUCGAAAGAAAGAUUAAUACCUGAUGGUAUGAUGAGAUUGCAUGGUAUCAUCAUUAAAGAUUUAUCGGUGUACGAUUGGGAUGCGUU